AAAAAUUCGUCGGCGAGCUUCUUCAGUGAAUCAACGCUUCUAUCCUCUUCCUUUCAUUCUCCUGAGCUUGGUGGCGAAUCUUCCUCCCAGGGGAAAGAAAUUGCCGACCUGUGAGCGUGUCUCAAGGCGAGACGACGGGUUCAUGGAGAGUUCCCACGGUUCGGCCUAAUGGGAGGCGACGUGGUCAACCUAGAGUUUACCCUGAUCAAGAGGUGCGCGGAGCCAUUGACAAGGAGUUCUUAUGUGAGAAACCCGGGGUCACCACA